rnacentral:rRNA from 1 species
GCAAGUCGAACGGCAGCACGGGUGCUUGCACCUGGUGGCGAGUGGCGAACGGGUGAGUAAUACAUCGGAACAUGUCCUGUAGUGGGGGAUAGCCCGGCGAAAGCCGGAUUAAUACCGCAUACGAUCUAUGGAUGAAAGCGGGGGACCUUCGGGCCUCGCGCUAUAGGGUUGGCCGAUGGCUGAUUAGCUAGUUGGUGGGGUAAAGGCCUACCAAGGCGACGAUCAGUAGCUGGUCUGAGAGGACGACCAGCCACACUGGGACUGAGACACGGCCCAGACUCCUACGGGAGGCAGCAGUGGGGAAUUUUGGACAAUGGGCGAAAGCCUGAUCCAGCAAUGCCGCGUGUGUGAAGAAGGCCUUCGGGUUGUAAAGCACUUUUGUCCGGAAAGAAAUCCUUGGUUCUAAUAUAGCCGGGGGAUGACGGUACCGGAAGAAUAAGCACCGGCUAACUACGUGCCAGCAGCCGCGGUAAUACGUAGGGUGCGAGCGUUAAUCGGAAUUACUGGGCGUAAAGCGUGCGCAGGCGGUUUGCUAAGACCGAUGUGAAAUCCCCGGGCUCAACCUGGGAACUGCAUUGGUGACUGGCAGGCUAGAGUAUGGCAGAGGGGGGUAGAAUUCCACGUGUAGCAGUGAAAUGCGUAGAGAUGUGGAGGAAUACCGAUGGCGAAGGCAGCCCCCUGGGCCAAUACUGACGCUCAUGCACGAAAGCGUGGGGAGCAAACA